rnacentral:rRNA from 1 species
GAGUUUGAUCCUGGCUCAGGAUGACCGCUAGCGGCAGGCCUAAUACAUGCAAGUCGAACGGUAAAUAUUUUAGCAAUAGAAUAUGAGAGUGACGUACGGGUGCGUAACACGUAUGCAACCUACCCUUUACAGGCGGAUAGCUCGGGGAAACUCGGAUUAACCCGUCAUAAGAUCAUAGAGUGGCAUCACUUAGUGAUUAAAAUUACGGUGGUAAAGGAUGGGCAUGCGUCUGAUUAGUUAGUUGGCGGUGUAAUGGACCACCAAGACGAUGAUCAGUAGGGGAACUGAGAGGUUGAUCCCCCACACUGGCACUGAGAUACGGGCCAGACUCCUACGGGAGGCAGCAGUAGGGAAUAUUGGUCAAUGGAUGGAAGUCUGAACCAGCCAUGCCGCGUGCAGGAAGAAGGCCUUCUGGGUUGUAAACUGCUUUUGCCAGGGGCUAAAAAGCUCAUGCGUGAGAAAUUGAAAGUACCUGGUGAAUAAGCCACGGCUAACUACGUGCCAGCAGCCGCGGUAAUACGUAGGUGGCAAGCGUUGUCCGGAUUUAUUGGGUUUAAAGGGUGCGUAGGCGGCUUUGUAAGUCAGUGGUGAAAUAUGGCAGCUCAACUGUCAGGGUGCCAUUGAUACUGCGGAGCUUGAGUACAGAUGAGGUAGGCGGAAUUGACGGUGUAGCGGUGAAAUGCUUAGAUAUCGUCAAGAACACCGAUAGCGAAGGCAGCUUACUAGGCUGUAACUGACGCUGAGGCACGAAAGUGUGGGGAUCAAACAGGAUUAGAUACCCUGGUAGUCCACGCCGUAAA